UGCCUUGAAGGACAAUGCGCUUCUGAUAGUA
rnacentral:piRNA from 1 species